UACGGGGGGGCGGAAGCGUUGUUCGGAAUUACUGGGCGUAAAGGGCUCGUAGGCGGCCAACUAAGUCAGACGUGAAAAUCCCUCGGCUUAACCGGGGAACUGCGUCUGAUACUGGAUGGCUUGAGAUUGGGAGAGGGAUGCGGAAUUCCAGGUGUAGCGGUGAAAUGCGUAGAUAUCUGGAGGAACACCGGUGGCGAAGGCGGCAUCCUGGACCAACACUGACGCUGAGUGAGCGAAAGCCAGGGGAGCAAACGGG
rnacentral:rRNA from 1 species